rnacentral:rRNA from 1 species
AUGGGGAGUCGAAGACAACAUAGUGUCAACCACUUUGGUCCAAUCUUGAGAAAGCCAUCCAUAGGCAAGGCACCAGGCAAACUCAAGAAAAAGUGCCUUCAACAAUUGCAGAGAACUCAACAGUCGUUUAGGGUAGCGUAUAACCAUGCUAAUGAAAGAGGUGAUGAUAAUGUUAUCAGAAGACCUCAACAAAAUAAUGUUGCAACAAAAAAAACACCCCAAUUUCCUUGUGAGGAGCCUAGCCAUGCUAAGGCAGUGUCUCGACAAAAUGUCCCGGCACGUUCUUCAUGGCCAAAGAAAGGUACGAGUUCUCCACGGGGAAAUGUUGAGAAGUCCAAACCCUCUUUCUCUAGGACUCUCCAAAAGAAUACCCAGAAGGCUAGUCCAUCUUGCGCAAUGCCUAAAAGUGGCAUUGAUUCUCUGCAAAAGAAUGCUACCAAGUGUAGACCAUCUUUCUUUAUGUUGAAUAAUGGUAAUACCUUAGGGCCCAACAAUGGCAUGGGCUCUCCGGUGAAGAAUGUGGAGUCUUCCUCAAGGUUAAAUAACAUUGAAGCUCCUCGGUCAAAGAAUAAAUCCUCUUACUCAAGGUCCAACAAUGAGAUAGCUCCUCAGUCAAUGAAAUCUAGGCCCUUCUCCUCUGGGUCGAAUAGUGGGCCCGGUCCUUUGACGAGGAACAUAGAGAAGUCUAAGCCCUCUUCAACUAGGGAUCAAUAUUCCGCAGUGUUAAAGGAUGAUUCAAAUUCCACAUUUGGUAUUUCAAAGAAAGCAUACCCCUCUUCGAUGCUUCCCAACUCACGGAAUGAAGACCAUCGGAUGGCGAGGGAAGCUUCAAAUUCCAACUUAGCUUUGAUGAAGGGUAAAGAAGUCAUGGAAGAUAUCCAUACCAACUUGGAGAUCAAUUGUGUUUCUUUACCUGGUAAGAACCUUUUGAGUCACCAAACGGUCGAGCCAUCAUGCAUGGCCGAUCCAAUGGACCGGUGCAUUCAACUUGAUAGUAGAAAGUGCAAGACUAGCCUUGCGGAGGAUGGAAGAACCGAUGUGUACAAAUCUAAGAGUAAGAGGAUGAAGCCGUUAUUGGAAGAGAAGUUUGAGAAACGUGGGGUCGCUAAACUGACAAAAUCAAUGGGCAUCUCCACUAAGAACUCUAGCCUCGGGGAGGAUGAAAGAACCGUUGAUGAAAAGUUUAAUAAGAUGAAGAGGACUGAUAAUUAUAGUCAAACAAACAAAAGGAGAAGAUACGUAGUAUCUGAUGAUGAAGCCGAUGAUGAUGGUGAUCAGAAUCUCACUAGUGGUAAAACUGGUGCUGCUGGAUUGACAAGACAGAAGGAUUGUCAUCCAGAAGUCUCUAAUCUAUUUGGUUUAGAAUCUUCGAAGCCCUAUCAGUAUUGUUCCCUGCCCAUCGAUGAACCUAUUUGGAGUGGAAUCAUUAAGAUAGGCAGUGGAAAAUUUGUUUCAUUGGCUGCACAUUUGUCAACCAAAUACUGUGAGAAGGUGUGGAAAUUGUCACGAUCACUUGAGGCUGUGGUUGAAGUAACAAAGCUUUCUAGACUGGAGGCUUGGCCUAAGAGCUUUGAGGCAUCAAGGCCCACUGAUGACAACAUUGCGUUGUAUUUGUUGCCCACCGAGAUGAGGCAAGAUGCAGACCUGGAACAACUUGUUAAAGAAGUCAUGGAGAAUGAUAUGGUCCUGCGAGCUAUUGUUGGUGAAGCUGAGAUGCUGAUAUUCCCAUCUAUUCUACUGCCUGAGCAACACCAAACUUUCCAAGGAAAACCCUACCUGUGGGCGGUAUUUAAGUGCAGAAACGACAAGGUUCCCGUAGUGGAAGAGGAACAACAUGGCAAAGGACAUUGUGCACAGGAGAAGGGAAAACAGCAGGCUUCACAUUUCAGUGUGGGAGAAGGGUUAAACAUGGAUGCUGGACUCGAAGCUUCUGAGGAAGCGGAGAUGCAAGGCAUGGAGCAGGAACAAAAUCCCACUACGGCAAGUCCAGCAACAACUCCUACAGCUUCACCCAACACUCCAUGUCCUACAACUUCAGCUCCUACCGCAGCUGCCACAGUGUCUGCAAACCACGUACAGGUCCACUCAGGCUUUGCUGCUCCUACAGGGGCAUUGUUUGGUUUUGUGGUUCAGCGAACUCCACGACUCGAGCAACUCAUCCAAGAGAUGCAACGCGAAGGUGCUGUGAUGGUUGCAAUGCAAGGGCAGAUGAUAGGGCCAGGACUUGGCUUGGGCAGGCAGUAG